GAUGAAGAACGUAGUGAAAUGCGAUAAGUAAUGUGAAUUGCAGAAUUCAGUGAAUCAUCGAAUCUUUGAACGCACAUUGCGCCCGCCAGUAUUCUGGCGGGCAUGCCUGUUCGAGCGUCAUUUCAACCAUCAAGCCCCCGGCUUGUGUUGGGGACCUGUGGCUGCCGCAGGCCCUGAAAACCAGUGGCGGGCUCGCUAGUCACUCCGAGCGUAGUAAUACAUCUCGCUCAGGGCGUGCUGCGGGUUCCGGCCGUUAAAAAGCCUUAUUUACCCAAGGUUGACCUCGGAUCAGGUAGGAAGACCCGCUGAACUUAAGCAUAUCAAUAAGCGGAGGA
rnacentral:misc_RNA from 1 species